CUUUGAUCUACCCAUUUUACUUAAAUCUCAACAUCUAGAGUUAACAUUUUAUUGAUGAGGUUUUUUUCUUCUUCUUGGUUUAUAAAGAUCGAACUUCUCCAUUAUUUUAAAUUGAACUCAUUACUUUUUCCUAUUUUUAAUGCAAUUUAAUAUCACACCAGACUUAGGACAGACGCAGGAGUACAUAACACUCUUUCUUUUGAAUUUUGAACUUUUGUUUACAGAAACUUCUGAAUAUCCUUUUACAAGCUGGAGGCCAUCAGGUUCUAGCAGCAGCCCAAAAUUCAGUUAUCUGAACUCUGAAGAAUAAUACUACAGCUCUAUAGGAACUUCUCGACGCAUGUAUUUGUGACCUCGUCAGCUUUGACAGGCAGCUGCGCGAGCAUGCUCCUGGCAGCAGUGCUCCUCAUGUUUUGGGGAUUCGAGCUGGCUCGCAUGGUUUACCUAAUAGCAACACACAGGAGCACGCGCGCACUGCAGUCCACACAUGUUGAGCAACACUGCAUACUUAACUGAAGAUGUCUGCACACGCACGACAUGUCGACACGCAUACUUAACUAAAGUUGGCUUGCUGAAAAUCGACACAGAGGACUGCAGCCAUGCUAAUUACCACUGAAAAUGGCCAGCCAUACUAAUUACUGCACAAAAUGGUGAAGAAUAGUUGACCGUGUGCAGCCAUACUAUUUUUCUUGAGCAUAUGAAUGAACAUGUAGACAUUCAACUAUAGAAAACCAUCUCUAUCUAUUGGAAAUGACAUCCAACCAAAAACAAAAUUGACUAAUUACUCCCAAAAGCACCAGAAAUCAAUAAAAAUUGAGAGGAUAAAUAAACAGAGUAGUUCAGGACAGCAAGCAAUUUCUCCCAAAUUGGGGCUUUUCUGUUUUUGGACCAAGUUGACACACGCAUGGGAGGAGGAGGCUCACCACCACCGGGGAAGAUCCUCGAUGAAGGAAACUACCAUGAGGAAGGUUAGGAGGCAACGCCGGGCAAGAGAAAGGCAGCGGCCGGUGCGUGAGGAGAGGAAGAUGGCAGACACGAAGUCUGGGCUGGACGCCUCUCCGUACUCGAUGGCUGGCGGCGGCUCAAAUCCCCUAUGCUGCGGUUCAAACACACCUGUGGAGGAAGGUAAAAGUGGUGGCCGUCGCUGGUAGCGGUGGGUCGAGGUGUGCGCGAGCAUCACAAGAUGUAGUGCGCGAAGGGAACAAGGCUGCAUGCCUCCACCGCGCCGGAGCUUGCAUCCAGAACGAGAUGUCGUCGAGCAUGGGAUACCUGUGUCGAUGGAGUCAUGGGGAGGCCCAGACUACAUCAUCUGGAGAAGUGAUUUUCAUUCCUUUUCUAUGAACUUUCUACUUUAGCUUCUUUCUUUAGUAAAUCACAACUCAGUACUGUUAAUAGUACUAGUAGCGGCUACACUAGUUUUGGAGAAAGAUCAAGUUGCCGCAACAUAGGCUACUACAUGUUGGGCAGAAACAAAUUGAACUUCAAAAUGGACAGGAGGUGGAUGACACCGGACGGGAUAAUGGCAUGUAGUAGAAUGGUCGCGCUGGAAGCAGAGGAGGCUGCCUCCGCCGUGGAUCAAGGGGGAGGGAGGCCUCCGUUGUGGUUCCAGGGGAGUGACGCCGCCGCCGCCAUGGAUCCAGGGGAGGGAGGCGCUGUACAGAGGCAGGGAGGCCGUCGCCGCGGUAGAUCGAGGAGGGGGGCGGGGCGAGCCGGUGGUCGGCGGUGGUGGAAUGGGCGUCGGGCAGCGUACCGAUUCAGGAAACUCGGCGUCGGUGGCGAGCUCGGAGACGACAGCGAUGGCGCGUGGGAUCUAGGGCUGACGUCUGUGCAUGGGAUCCAGCCCGGCGGCGGGGGCGGCGGCGCCUGGGGUUGCCGAGGGCAGGGGUGGCUGGGGUUUCCGGGGGCGGCGGUGCGCAGGGUCAGGGGCGGCGACGGUUGGGUAGUCCCCUGCGGCGGGUGGGUCUGAGGAUCAAGGGGAGAGUGAUAGCGCCGGAGAUGGGGGGCGGUUGGUCAGGCUUUUUUCUUCUUCUUUGAGAUCUCGGGAACAAUUUGCUCGCCCCUAUAGGCGCUCAGUCAUUCAAACAGUUAUUCUAAUUUUAGAAUUAGAAUAAUGUUGUUAUAUAUAUAUAUGGGACAACAUUAUUCUAAUUCUGAAAUUAAAAUAGUUAUUUGGAUCACGGCUCUUUAUAUAGCGCACGAAGAGGCGUUCCCGAACUUCCGAAGCCACGGAGAAAAAUAAAUAAGAAAACCCACCCAGUCCCGCACCUCCCGCACCACCCCAUCCCCUUCCUCGAGAACCAGCCACCGGUCCGCCACCGGUCCUAAAUCCGGCCGCCGCGCAGCUCCCUCCCCGGGAUCCGGCCGCCGCGACACCACCUCCCCCGGAUCCGGCCACCGGACCGCCUCCUUCCCCCGGAUCCGGCCGGGAUUGAUCCCACCGCCGCCUGCCACCACCAAGCACUGGCGUGCGACCCCGGCGCCGCCUCCCUCUAUGAAGCGCCGGCGCCCGACCCCGUCACCUACCUCUGGUACGCCGUCGCGCCUCCGCUGCCACCUAGGGUGCCCCUGACAUCGCCCAGCUCCUCCUCACACGACGACCCCCUGCGACGCACGCCUCCUCGAUGUUCUGCCCCGGACAUGGGCGCCUCCCCGUCCACCCUCCGGCGACCGAAACCAGCUCCGCCCGCCGUAGCAGAGGACAUGCCCCGUUCGUGGACUCCCCUCCCCUCCGCCCGGGUGCGACCUGCCCUGCGCUCUGGCGCGGCCUGCCCUCCCCUCUGGUGCGACCUGCUCUCUGGUACGGCCCGCCCUCCUCCAGCGCGCCUGCACUCUGCUCCGUCGGCGCAACGACCGAGCACUAGACCUCCCUCCUCUCUCCCACUAGGACGGCAGUGUAGUUUGCAGGAAAAAUAAAAGAAACCGCUUUCUACAUGCAAAAGGGCAUCAAGUUUUGGAAGAAGUAUGGUGUUGAAUGAAAAAAUGAGGAAAAAAGGAUCCUCAAGCAAAUCAAGCAAUGGAAAUCUUCCUUGGUGGAGCUAGUAAUGCAAAGCUGCAAAGCUUCAGUUUUAUGUAAUCUUGGCUAAAUUGUGAUAAUUUUAUGUUGCUAUGAACCUCUGCUGUACUGUUAAGAUUGAACUUUUCACAAAGUCCUAUGUUGAAGCUCCUCCUUCUGUUUUUCAUUUAUGUGUACUUCUACGGUUCAAUUUAAUGCAAACCAUUUUUGUA